GACGAACGCUGGCGGCGUGCCUAAUACAUGCAAGUCGAACGCUGAAGGAGGAGCUUGCUCUUCUGGAUGAGUUGCGAACGGGUGAGUAACGCGUAGGUAACCUGCCUGGUAGCGGGGGAUAACUAUUGGAAACGAUAGCUAAUACCGCAUAACAGUAGAUGUUGCAUGACAUUUACUUAAAAGGUGCAAUUGCAUCACUACCAGAUGGACCUGCGUUGUAUUAGCUAGUUGGUGGGGUAACGGCUCACCAAGGCGACGAUACAUAGCCGACCUGAGAGGGUGAUCGGCCACACUGGGACUGAGACACGGCCCAGACUCCUACGGGAGGCAGCAGUAGGGAAUCUUCGGCAAUGGACGGAAGUCUGACCGAGCAACGCCGCGUGAGUGAAGAAGGUUUUCGGAUCGUAAAGCUCUGUUGUAAGAGAAGAACGAGUGUGAGAGUGGAAAGUUCACACUGUGACGGUAGCUUACCAGAAAGGGACGGCUAACUACGUG
rnacentral:rRNA from 1 species